CCAGUAGGCGGCCAACUAAGUCGGAUGUGAAAUCCCCAGGCUCAACUUGGGAACUGCAUCCGAUACUGGAUGGCUUGAAUUCGGGAGAGGGAUGCAGAAUUCCAGGUGUAGCGGUGAAAUGCGUAGAUAUCUGGAGGAAUACCGGUGGCGAAGGCGGCAUCCUGGACCGACAUUGACGCUGAACGGCGAAAGCUAGGGGAGCAAACG
rnacentral:rRNA from 1 species